rnacentral:tRNA from 1 species
GGAGGAUUGGCCGAGUGGUAAGGCACUUCCCUGCUAAAGAAAGGUUUCCUAGCGGAACAUAGGUUCGAUUCCUAUAUCCUCCU